UACGUAGGUGGCAAGCGUUAUCCGGAAUUAUUGGGCGUAAAGCGUGCGCAGGCGGUUUCUUAAGUCUGAUGUGAAAGCCCACGGCUCAACCGUGGAGGGUCAUUGGAAACUGGGGAACUUGAGUGCAGAAGAGAAAAGCGGAAUUCCACGUGUAGCGGUGAAAUGCGUAGAGAUGUGGAGGAACACCAGUGGCGAAGGCGGCUUUUUGGUCUGUAACCGACGCUGAGGCGCGAAAGCGUGGGGAGCAAACAGG
rnacentral:rRNA from 1 species